UACAUGGGGUGCAAACGUUGCUCGGAAUUAUUGGGCGUAAAGCGCACGUAGGCGGUUUGUUAAGUCGGAUGUGAAAUCCCUCGGCUCAACUGAGGAAGUGCACCCGAAACUGGCAGGCUUGAGUACUAAAGAGGGUCGCGGAAUUCCCGGUGUAGAGGUGAAAUUCGUAGAUAUCAGGAGGAACACCGGUGGCGAAGGCGGGUCUCUGGGCCGAUACUGACGCUGAGGAGCGAAAGCGUGGGGAGCGAACAGG
rnacentral:rRNA from 1 species